CGGGCCCGCGCGGAGUCGGGAGUGGUAGUCUUUUUGCCCGCGGUCCGUGGCGCCUGCCGGGACCCGCCCUCCUCGCCGCCCCGCGGGCGGGAGGAGGGAGCGCCGCUGUGGCGGGAGAGUCGUCGCCACGUUAGCAGGAUGGUUUCUGUAUGGCUAUCUAAAAUCUGGACCAACCCUACCUGUCCUUCCUGAUUUCCCUCUGUAGCUGUGAGGAUCCUUUCUUCACUCUGAUGGGGGCAAAAGGCAAACUGAGGGCAAAGCGGGCCCUGACACUGCACAACCCACCCCCCUUGAGGGGGGAUUCCUCAGGUACCAGUAACCGCUAAGAACGAAGCAAAGGAAGAACGAAUGGUCAACCGAUAAAGAUCACAGUCAUGUAGGGCUUGAAACUCCGCUACAGUUUGUAACUGUCUUAAUGAUUUACAAGGAAAACACAAUCUUAAUAACAGACCUCCAGGAACCUUGGACUCAAUCUCCUGGAGCCCUAGUCACCUCCACCUCCAUAGGGUAGAAAACCCUGUAUGAUCCGUCACUCCUGACAGUCACAACGCGACUCUGCCCACGGAUCUUCUCCCCGUGCCGUAAUAAAAACAUCUUUCCUCGCUGUGAA